AAGUCGUAACAAGGUAACCGUAGGUGAACCUGCGGUUGGAUCAUUAAAAAGAUCUAGCCCGAAGUGGGACUGAGAGGUCGGAUCGAGGUAUCCGCGACACUGUCGUGGGUGUUUCGCCGAUCACUCUAACCCAUGCCCGGGCUUUCUCACCUCAAAAGUGAGUCAACAUUAUGUGAACUGUUCUGUCUCUGGCGGUGGGGUGGUGUCAAAACCACCUGUCAGCAUCCGGGUUCUCUCGGUGUGCCGUGGACAAGCCGUCAAUGGUGUAUGUUUCAUACAAACUUUUGUUUCAUCAAUCUGUCUGACAUACCUUUGUAUCUAAAAUAUACAAAAACAACUUUUGGCAACGGAUCUCUUGGCUCCC
rnacentral:misc_RNA from 1 species